rnacentral:tRNA from 1 species
UGGGGUUUAGCUCAGUGGUAGAGUACUUGCCUGGUAUCCAUGAGACCCUAGGUUUGAUUCCCAGAACUCCCC